UGCUCUACCUUGUCAUGCUGACACACUAGACACUUAGAAACAAAAUCGGCUACCUCUUUUUUCAUCAUGUUCCACCAAAACUGAGGUCGCAUACUUUGAUACAUUUUAGUGCUUCUAGGAUGCAUGAUAAACUUUGAGUUAUGGGCUCUAACAUGAUAUCCAUUUUCAGCUCACUGUCACAUGAAUCACACACCAUGUUCUAAAAUCUGAGCAACCCAUCGGCAGAUACUUAAAAUUCUAAAUUUACUCUCUAUUCUGCAUCUUUCCUGAGAACUACUAGGGUUGGAUCGACAAAUUGGGCUU
rnacentral:lncRNA from 1 species